AGUGAACGCUGGCGGUAGGCCUAACACAUGCAAGUCGAACGGCAGCACAGUAAGAGCUUGCUCUUACGGGUGGCGAGUGGCGGACGGGUGAGGAAUACAUCGGAAUCUACUUUUUCGUGGGGGAUAACGUAGGGAAACUUACGCUAAUACCGCAUACGACCUACGGGUGAAAGCAGGGGAUCUUCGGACCUUGCGCGAUUGAAUGAGCCGAUGUCGGAUUAGCUAGUUGGCGGGGUAAAGGCGCACCAAGGCGACGAUCCGUAGGUGGUCUGAGAGGAUGAUCAGCCACACUGGAACUGAGACACGGCCCAGACUCCUACGGGGGGCAGCAGUGGGGAAUAUUGGGCGAUGGGCGCGAGCCUGAUCCAGCCAUACCGCGUGGGUGAAGAAGGACUUCGGGUUGUAAAGCCCUUUUGUUGGGAAAGAAAAGCAGCAGGUUAAUACCCCGCUGUUCUGACGGUACCCAAAGAAUAAGCACCGGCUAACUUCGUG
rnacentral:rRNA from 1 species